CCUACGGGUGGCAGCAGUGGGGAAUAUUGCGCAAUGGGCGAAAGCCUGACGCAGCGACGCCGCGUGAGGGAUGAAGGUCUUCGGAUCGUAAACCUCUGUCAGCAGGGAAGAACGGUCACUGUGCUAAUCAGCAGUGAAUUGACGGUACCUGCAAACGACGCACCGGCGAACUCCGUGCCAGCAGCCGAUGUAAUACGGAGGGGGCGUGCGUUAAUCGGAAUUACUGGGAGUAAAGCGCGCGUAGGCGGUAUGUCAAGUCAAGGGGGAAAUCCCCGCGCUCAACGUGGGAACUGCCUUUGAAACUGGCAAACUGGAGUGUGUGAGAGGAUAGUGGAAUGCCAGGUGUAGGAGUGAAAUCCGUAGAUAUCUGGAGGAACAUCAGUGGCGAAGGCGACUAUCUGGCACAUAACUGACGCUGAGGAGCGAAAGCGUGGGUAGCAAACAGGAUUAGAUACCCGGGUAGUC
rnacentral:rRNA from 1 species